rnacentral:rRNA from 1 species
UAAUUGAAGAGUUUGAUCAUGGCUCAGAUUGAACGCUGGCGGCAGGCCUAACACAUGCAAGUCGGGCGGUAACAGGGAGAAGCUUGCUUCUCUGCUGACGAGCGGCGGACGGGUGAGUAAUGUAUGGGGAUCUGCCUGAUGGAGGGGGAUAACUACUGGAAACGGUAGCUAAUACCGCAUAAUGUCCACGGACCAAAGCGGGGGACCUUCGGGCCUCGCACCAUCAGAUGAACCCAUAUGGGAUUAGCUAGUAGGUAAGGUAACGGCUUACCUAGGCGACGAUCCCUAGCUGGUCUGAGAGGAUGAUCAGCCACACUGGGACUGAGACACGGCCCAGACUCCUACGGGAGGCAGCAGUGGGGAAUAUUGCACAAUGGGCGCAAGCCUGAUGCAGCCAUGCCGCGUGUAUGAAGAAGGCCUUCGGGUUGUAAAGUACUUUCAGUCGGGAGGAAGGUGUUAAGGUUAAUAACCUUG